AUUGAACGCUGGCGGCAGGCCUAACACAUGCAAGUCGAGCGGAUGAAGGGAGCUUGCUCCUGGAUUCAGCGGCGGACGGGUGAGUAAUGCCUAGGAAUCUGCCUGGUAGUGGGGGAUAACGUCCGGAAACGGGCGCUAAUACCGCAUACGUCCUGAGGGAGAAAGUGGGGGAUCUUCGGACCUCACGCUAUCAGAUGAGCCUAGGUCGGAUUAGCUAGUUGGUGGGGUAAAGGCCUACCAAGGCGACGAUCCGUAACUGGCCUGAGGGGAUGAUCAGUCACACUGGAACUGAGACACGGUCCAGACUCCUACGGGAGGCAGCAGUGGGGAAUAUUGGACAAUGGGCGAAAGCCUGAUCCAGCCAUGCCGCGUGUGUGAAGAAGGUCUUCGGAUUGUAAAGCACUUUAAGUUGGGAGGAAGGGCAGUAAGUUAAUACCUUGCUGUUUUGACGUUACCAACAGAAUAAGCACCGGCUAACUUCGUG
rnacentral:rRNA from 1 species